AUGUUCCUGAAAUGUUCGAAUAACCUAUUAUUUUGAACCUACAGUAGACAUACGGGAGCUCGGUUGUUUUUAUUAGGAAUACAGGCCCCAAGAUAAUUCCGACAUCGGCAAAAGUCGCAUGCAACGGCGGGGGACGUGUGAAUAAUAAAGCAGGGCACCCACCUAGCAGGUUAGCUAGGUGUCAAAAUAUAGGGAAACGGCAUUUUGGGGGCAUG
rnacentral:other from 1 species